rnacentral:rRNA from 1 species
AACGAACGCUGGCGGCAUGCCUAACACAUGCAAGUCGAACGAGACCUUCGGGUCGAGUGGCGCACGGGUGCGUAACGCGUGGGAACCUGCCCUUAGGUUCGGAAUAACUCCCCGAAAGGGGGGCAAAUACCGGAUAAUGUCUUCGGACCAAAGAUUUAUCGCCUUUGGAUGGGCCCGCGUUGGAUUAGCUAGUUGGUAGGGUAAAAGCCUACCAAGGGGACGAUCCAUAGCUGGUCUGAGAGGAUGAUCAGCCACACUGGGACUGAGACACGGCCCAGACUCCUCCGGGAGGCAGCAGUGGGUAAUAUUGGACAAUGGGCGAAAGCCUGAUCCAGCCAUGCCGCGUGAGUGAUGAAGGCCUUAGGGUUGUAAAGCUCUUUUAACCGGGAUGAUAAUGACAGUACCGGGAGAAUAAGCUCCGGCUAACUCCGUG